rnacentral:sRNA from 1 species
UCGACGAAACCAUUCAUUGUGACUCAACU